AUUGAACGCUGGCGGCAUGCCUUACACAUGCAAGUCGAACGGUAACGGGCCUUCGGGUGCCGACGAGUGGCGAACGGGUGAGUAAUGUAUCGGAACGUACCUUUCAGUGGGGGAUAACGUAGCGAAAGUUACGCUAAUACCGCAUAUUCUGUGAGCAGGAAAGCAGGGGAUCGCAAGACCUUGCGCUGAUUGAGCGGCCGAUAUCAGAUUAGCUAGUUGGUGAGGUAAGGGCUCACCAAGGCGACGAUCUGUAGCGGGUCUGAGAGGAUGAUCCGCCACACUGGAACUGAGACACGGUCCAGACUCCUACGGGAGGCAGCAGUGGGGAAUUUUGGACAAUGGGGGCAACCCUGAUCCAGCCAUGCCGCGUGAGUGAAGAAGGCCUUCGGGUUGUAAAGCUCUUUCGGCCGGGAAGAAAUCGUAUCAGCUAAUACCUGAUGCGGAUGACGGUACCGGCAUAAGAAGCACCGGCUAACUACGUGCCAGCCGCCGCGGUAUAC
rnacentral:rRNA from 1 species